ACUGGGUGCAGUGGCGCGUGCCUGUAGUCCCAGCUACUCAGGAGGCUGAGGUGGGAGGAUCACUUGAGCCCAGGAGUUCUGGGCUGUAGUGCACUAUGCUGAUCAGGAGUCCACACUAAGUUCAGCAUCAAUAUGGUGACCUCCCGGGAGCGGGGGACCACCAGGUUGCCUAAGGAGGGGUGAACUAGCCCAGGUUGGAAAUGGAGCAGGUCAAAAACUCCCGUGCUGAUCAGUAGUGGGAUUGUGCCUGUGAAUAGCCACUGCACUCCAGCCUGGGCAGCAUAGCGAGACCCCCGUCUCUA
ensembl:misc_RNA Metazoa_SRP Metazoan signal recognition particle RNA